rnacentral:rRNA from 1 species
CCUACGUGUGGCUGCAGUGGGGAAUAUUGCACAAUGGGCGCAAGCCUGAUGCAGCGACGCAGCGUGCGGGAUGGAGGCCUUCGGGUUGUAACACGCUUUUGUUCACGGGCUAGGCUCGGUCUUUGGCCGUGUUGAGUGGAUUGUUUGAAUAAGCACCGGCGAUCUACGGUCCAGCAGACGCGGUAAUACGUAGGGUGCAAGCGUUAUCCGGAUUUAUUGGGCGUAAAGGGCUCGUAGGCGGUUCGUCGCGUCAGGUGUGAAAGUCCAUCGCUUAACGGUGGAACCGCGCCGGUUACGGGCGGGCUUGAGUGCGGUAGGGGAGACUGGAAUUCCCGGUGGAACGGUGGAAUGUGUAGAUAGCGGGAAGAACACCGAUGGCGAAGGCAGGUCUCUGGGCCGUUACUGACGCUGAGGAGCGAAAGUGUGGGGAGCGAACAGGAUUAGAUACCCCUGUAGUC